GGUGAACGCUGGCGGCGUGCCUAAUACAUGCGAGUCGAGCGAACAGACGAGGAGCUUGCUCCUCUGACGUUAGCGGCGGACGGGUGAGUAACACGUGGAUAACCUACCUAUAAGACUGGGAUAACUUCGGGAAACCGGAGCUAAUACCGGAUAAUAUAUUGAACCGCAUGGUUCAAUAGUGAAAGACGGUUUUGCUGUCACUUAUAGAUGGAUCCGCGCCGCAUUAGCUAGUUGGUAAGGUAACGGCUUACCAAGGCGACGAUGCGUAGCCGACCUGAGAGGGUGAUCGGCCACACUGGAACUGAGACACGGUCCAGACUCCUACGGGAGGCAGCAGUAGGGAAUCUUCCGCAAUGGGCGAAAGCCUGACGGAGCAACGCCGCGUGAGUGAUGAAGGUCUUCGGAUCGUAAAACUCUGUUAUUAGGGAAGAACAAAUGUGUAAGUAACUAUGCACGUCUUGACGGUACCUAAUCAGAAAGCCACGGCUAACUACGUG
rnacentral:rRNA from 1 species